rnacentral:rRNA from 1 species
CCUACGGGAGGCUGCAGUGGGGAAUUUUGGACAAUGGGGGCAACCCUGAUCCAGCAAUGCCGCGUGAGUGAAGAAGGCCUUCGGGUUGUAAAGCUCUUUUGUCAGGGAAGAAACGGUAGUAGCUAAUAUCUAUUACUAAUGACGGUACCUGAAGAAUAAGCACCGGCUAACUACGUGCCAGCAGCCGCGGUAAUACGUAGGGUGCAAGCGUUAAUCGGAAUUACUGGGCGUAAAGCGUGCGCAGGCGGUUGUGUAAGUCAGAUGUGGAAUCCCCGGGCUCAACCUGGGAAUUGCAUUUGAGACUGCACGGCUAGAGUGUGUCAGAGGGGGGUAGAAUUCCACGUGUAGCAGUGAAAUGCGUAGAUAUGUGGAGGAAUACCGAUGGCGAAGGCAGCCCCCUGGGAUAACACUGACGCUCAUGCACGAAAGCGUGGGGAGCAAACAGGAUUAGAUACCCCUGUAGUCCC